UUUUUUAAGUUUGGCCACAUUUUAUGGUAUUUUUUAUUUCUGAACUUUUAUAUGGUAUAUAGUAUGCCAUAUUUUUGUUAUUAUUAGUUUUCAAUACCAUAUUUUAUUUUUCAAAUCCUAAUUUUUCAUACUUGUUUUUCUCGCUGUUUUAUUUUUUGGUCAGCCACUGCCUUUCUCACGCCGAAGAGUAUCAUCGUGGCCACACCCCCAUCCAAGACGACGCCAUCUCUGCUGAAAGUAUACCAAUGAGAUUGUCGCAGGUGAUGGUGAGGUUGACGAGGCUGGUGAAACUGCAGUACUUAUCAUUGUUCCUGGUGGAAGCACCAAAAGGGUGGGCAACAUUUAGGAACAUCCUGACUGAGAUUAAUGAAGCAUUAUGGCUUUUUAUAAUACCUAACUAGUGACUUUUCGGUAAUGAAGACAACUCCGACGACUUUUUUGAUGAUUUUUCGACAAGGAUAACAACUUUGACGAAUAUUCUCAUUCUAUUUUCUGUUUUUUUAUUUGCGACUAAUAUUUUAUUUUAGUAGAUAAUGACUAUUUUAGAUAGUGUUGGGUUGAUAGUUAAGUCUUGAAGCUUUUAAAAAGUUUGUAACUAGUUUUAUUUUGGCAUUGUAUUUGAUUUGUUCAAUAUUCCAUACAAUAUCUAGAAUACAAGCAUGUAAAAUUUAUUUAUAAUUUUUAGUAUUUGUAACUGGUUUUUAUUCAUUAAGAGAACAACUCUAGCGAAUGUACUCUCACUCUA